rnacentral:tRNA from 1 species
GGGGAUAUAGCUCAGUUGUUCGAGUGUUUGGCUUGUAUGCAGAAAGCCCUGGGUUCAAUUCCCAGCACCA